GCCGGGUGUGGUGGUGCAUGCCUGUAAUCCCAGCUACUCAGGAGGCUGAGGCAGGAGAAUUGCUUGAACCCAGGAGGCAGAGGCUGCAGUGAGUUGAGAUCACGCCACUGCACUCCAGCCUGGGCGACAGAGCAAGACUCAGUCUCAA
ensembl:misc_RNA Metazoa_SRP Metazoan signal recognition particle RNA